GGCCCUAUGGGUUGUAAACUGCUUUUGCGACGGAAGAAACGGUGCUAUUUAUAGCAUUUUGACGGUACCUCGAGAAUAAGCACCGGCUAACUCCGUGCCAGCAGCCGCGGUAAUACGGAGGGUGCAAGCGUUAUCCGGAAUCACUGGGUUUAAAGGGUGCGUAGGCGGCAUUAUAAGUCAGAGGUGAAAGCCCGUCGCUUAACGAUGGAAUUGCCUUUGAUACUGUAGUGCUUGAAUCAAGUUGAGGCUGGCGGAAUGUGGCAUGUAGCGGUGAAAUGCAUAGAUAUGCCAUAGAACACCAAUUGCGAAGGCAGCUGGCUGGGCUUGAAUUGACGCUGAGGCACGAAAGCGUGGGGAG
rnacentral:rRNA from 1 species